rnacentral:rRNA from 1 species
UACGUGAGGGUGCAAGCGUUAAUCGGAAUUACUGGGCGUAAAGCGUGCGCAGGCGGCUUUGCAAGACAGAUGUGAAAAUCCCCGGGCUUAACCUGGGAACUGCAUUUGUGACUGCAUGGCUAGAGUGCGGCAGAGGGGGAUGGAAUUCCGCGUGUAGCAGUGAAAUGCGUAGAUAUGCGGAGGAACACCGAUGGCGAAGGGCGAAUCCCCUGGGC